GACGAACCGUGCGAACGUUGUUCGGAAUCACUGGGCUUAAAGGGCGCGUAGGCGGCUCGCCAAGUCGGGGGUGAAAUCUUUCGGCCCAACCGGAAAAGGGCCUUCGAUACUGGCGAGCUCGAGCGGGGUAGGGGCGGACGGAACUUCCGGUGGAGCGGUGAAAUGCGUUGAUAUCGGAAGGAACGCCGGUGGCGAAAGCGGUCCGCUGGACCCCUCCUGACGCUGAGGCGCGAAAGCCAGGGGAGCGAACGGG
rnacentral:rRNA from 1 species